AGCAGCCGCGGUAAUUCCAGCUCCAAUAGCGUAUAUUAAAGUUGCUGCAGUUAAAAAGCUCGUAGUUGAAUUUCGGGACCAUCAUGUUGGUCGUGCCUCGGUACGUACUGGCAUUGUUGGGUUCUCCCUUCUGACGAACCAUGAUGUCAUUUAUUUGGUGUCGUGGGAAAUCAGGACUGUUACUUUGAAAAAAUUAGAGUGUUUAAAGCAGGCUCACGCUUGAAUACAUUAGCAUGGAAUAAUGAAAUAGGACGUUUGAUUCUAUUUUGUUGGUUUCUAGGAUCGACGUAAUGAUUAAUAGGGAUAGUUGGGGGCAUUAGUAUUCAAUUGUCAGAGGUGAAAUUCUUGGAUUUAUUGAAGACUAACUACUGCGAAAGCAUUUGCCAAGGAUGUUUUCAUUAAUCAAGAACGAAAGUUAGGGGAUCGAAGACGAUCAGAUACCGUCGUAGUCUUAACCAUAAACUAUGCCGACUAGGGAUCGGAUGAUGUUAAUUUUUUAAUGACUCAUUCGGCGCCUUAC
rnacentral:misc_RNA from 1 species